rnacentral:rRNA from 1 species
GGGGGCCCGCAAACGGUGGAUCAUGUGGUUCAAUUCGACACAACGCGCAUAACCUUACCUGGGCUCAAAGGGCUUCGGAACUGGCGUGGAAACACGGGUAUCCCGCAAGGGAGUGGAGUCGAGGUGCUGCAUGGCUGUCCUCGUCUCGUGGCGUGAGAUGUUUUGAUAACUCCCCCAAUUCCGCAACCCUUGCCCUGUUUUCCCCUCAUUAAGUUCGAAACUAUGCUGGCACCCCCAUCGAGGGUUUGGAUGAAGGUGGGAAUGACCUCAAGUCAUCAUGGCCUUUAUGUCCACGGCUACGCACCUGCUGCAAUGGACGUCCCCAAAAGGGAAGCUCAUGCCCGAGGUCGAGCUGAUCGGCUGAAAACCCUUCUCAAGGUACAUCGCGUUGCUGCAAACCACACUGCAUGAACCUGGACUCGCUAGUAAUGCCACAUCACCAUGC